UCAAAAGACAAACAAAUACCUGAUGAAGAAAUCUAUUUCAUGUGCUCUACAGAAGUGUGUUUACCAGCAGAUAGGCCAUGUGAACAACGGUGCUUUGAUGGAAAGGCACCAUAAGGAUGCUGCAGAAGACUUAAGGAGGGGGGGGGGGAAUAAA